CUUAACACAUGCAAGUCGAACGGGAUGCUUAGGCAUCUAGUGGCGGACGGGUGAGUAACGCGUGAGAAUCUGGCUCCAGGUCGGGGAUAACAGUUGGAAACGACUGCUAAUACCGGAUGUGCCGAGAGGUGAAAGAUUUAUUGCCUGGAGAUGAGCUCGCGUCUGAUUAGCUAGUUGGUGGUGUAAGGGACCACCAAGGCGUCGAUCAGUAGCUGGUCUGAGAGGAUGAUCAGCCACACUGGGACUGAGACACGGCCCAGACUCCUACGGGAGGCAGCAGUGGGGAAUUUUCCGCAAUGGGCGAAAGCCUGACGGAGCAAUACCGCGUGAGGGAGGAAGGCUCUUGGGUCGUAAACCUCUUUUCUCAAGGAAGAAGAAAGUGACGGUACUUGAGGAAUAAGCAUCGGCUAACUCCGUGCCAGCAGCCGCGGUAAUACGGAGGAUGCAAGCGUUAUCCGGAAUGAUUGGGCGUAAAGGGUCUGCAGGUGGAACUGAAAGUCUGCUGUUAAAGAGUUUGGCUUAACCAAAUAAAAGCGGUGGAAACUACAGAACUAGAGUGCGGUAGGGGCAAAAGGAAUUCCUGGUGUAGCGGUGAAAUGCGUAGAUAUCAGGAAGAACACCGGUGGCGAAAGCGUUUUGCUAGACCGUAACUGACACUGAGGGACGAAAGCUAGGGGAGCGAAUGGGAUUAGAUACCCCAGUAGUCCUAGCCGUAAACGAUGGAUACUAGGCGUGGCUUGUAUCGACCCGAGCCGUGCCGGAGCUAACGCGUUAAGUAUCCCGCCUGGGGAGUACGCACGCAAGUGUGAAACUCAAAGGAAUUGACGGGGGCCCGCACAAGCGGUGGAGUAUGUGGUUUAAUUCGAUGCAACGCGAAGAACCUUACCAAGACUUGACAUCCUGCGAAUCCUGGUGAAAGCUGGGAGUGCCUUAGGGAGCGCAGAGACAGGUGGUGCAUGGCUGUCGUCAGCUCGUGUCGUGAGAUGUUGGGUUAAGUCCCGCAACGAGCGCAACCCUCGUUUUUAGUUGCCAGCAUUAAGUUGGGCACUCUAGAGAGACUGCCGGUGACAAACCGGAGGAAGGUGAGGAUGACGUCAAGUCAGCAUGCCCCUUACGUCUUGGGCUACACACGUACUACAAUGCUACGGACAGAGGGCAGCGAGCCAGGGAUGGCAAGCGAAUCCAGAAACCGUAGCUCAGUUCAGAUCGAAGGCUGCAACUCGCCUUCGUGAAGGAGGAAUCGCUAGUAAUUGCAGGUCAGCAUACUGCAGUGAAUUCGUUCCCGGGCCUUGUACACACCGCCCGUCACACCAUGGAAGUUGGUCACGCCCGAAGUCAUUACCCCAACCGAAAGGAGG
rnacentral:rRNA from 1 species